AUUGAACGCUGGCGGCAGGCCUAACACAUGCAAGUCGAACGAGUGGCAGACGGGUGAGUAAUGUCUGGGAAACUGCCUGAUGGAGGGGGAUAACUACUGGAAACGGUAGCUAAUACCGCAUACCAUCGGAUGUGCCCAGAUGGGUUUAGCUAGUGGGUGGGGUAAAGGCUAACCUAGGCGACGAUCCCUAGCUGGUCUGAGAGGAGGACCAGCCACACUGGAACGGAGACACGGUCCAGACUCCUACGGGAGGAAGCAGUGGGGAAUAUUGCACAAGGGGCGCAAGCCUGAUACAGCCAUGCCGGGUGUAUGAAGAAGGCCUCCGGGUUGUAAAGUAUUUUCAGCGGGGAGGCGUUACCCGCAGAAGAAGCACCGGCUAACUCCGUGCCAGCAGCCGCGGUAAUUC
rnacentral:rRNA from 1 species